UUUAAAUGAUGAAUGUCAACGGUAAUCCAACAAUAAAAAUAAACAAAUAAUAAAUUGUUAAUAAAAAUAAACAAAUAAUAAAUUGUUAAAGGUAAAAGAAGUUAUACUUUAAGUGUUUAAGAGAAUGAAAUUAAUAUUUAGCAUCAUAUUGAGAGCUAAAUUUCAUGUUCAUAAUUAAAUUUACAUAUCUGAAAGUCAAAUAAAAAUUUGAUAACUUCAAAUUUUGACCUAAAAAAAUCAAAAAUUAAAAAACAUGAAUAAAGUUAAAAUAACAUAAUAUAUUAU
rnacentral:lncRNA from 1 species